AUUUUAUUUAUUAUGUAUUUGUAUUUAAAAGUAUUUAUAAUGCCUUAACAUGUAUAUAUAUAUUUUUUAUGCAAUAAAAAAAAAAAGUUAUAAACAUUUCACACGUGGUACAAUUUCUUAAGAAGGCAAAAAUUCCAUGUGUUUAUUUUAUUUAUUUAUUUAUUUAUUUAUUUUUUGUCAUUAAAAAAAAAAAUAAGUAGGUGAUUAAGUAGAUAAAAUUAUUACAUAGGUACCUACUUAUAUAUAUAUAUAUUUAUAUAUAUUUAUAUAUGAAUACAUAUGCAUGUACUUUAUGUAACUUAUAUUUUCAUAACAUUGUGCAAGUGCAAACAUGAAUGACGCUCGAAGCAUUUCUCAAGAGGCAAUCAAUAUUGCUGAUAUAAAAUUAUAUUUUGAGCAAAAAAAAUAUGAAAAUGUCAUUAAAUUAACUAAGAAUAUUUAUAAAGAUAUCAAUUCGAAUGAGUAUAAUGAAUAUGUAGUAAAAGUAAGGUACUUUAGUCUUAUUGAAAAAGAAGAGUUUUCCAAAAUAAUUUAUGAAAUAUUACACCGAUUGAUUGUUAAUAAUAAAAUAAACAACAAUGAAUGUGAGGACAUACAGGAGGGCACGAAAAGGAGUAACAAGGGUAAGAGGAAAAGAAGAAACAAACAGAGAAAUGAAAAGAAUGCGAAAAAAACAUUUAAAACGAAUUUUCAAGAAAAUUAUAAAAAACUUAUGAAUAAAAACGUUUUAUUUGAGUUUUUAUAUUCUAUAUACAAAUUAAAUCAUUAUAAAAAAUUAAGUGGGUGCCUAAAUUUUUUUAUAAAAAAUGAAGAGAAAUAUGAUUAUUUUAUAGACCUAAUGUUAGCAGAUGCUAAUUUUAAAUUAGGUAAAUUUGAAACGUGUAUUAAUUCUUAUGAAGUAUUAUUAAAUAAUGAUAAAUCAAAACAAGUGGAAGCAGCAUGUGUUAAUUUAAAUAGUAGUUUAUUUUCUAUGUAUAUAAAAUUAAUUUAUGAAUAUAAUUUUUUAAAAAGUCCCAAAAAAAAAAAAAAAAAAUUAAAAUCAGACAUAAGUGAACAGUAUAAAGAUAUACAAAAUUUGAAAGAACAUAUUAUGUCUACUAUUAAUGAUUUUAAUUAUGAUGAAAGUGAAUGUUUUGAAGAUCUAUUUAAUCAUGCUAUUUUUUUUACGAUAGAAAAAAAUUAUAACAAUGCUAUAAAAUUUUUAGAUAGAUUAGAAUAUAUAUUAAAUACAAAUAAUUAUAAUAACGAACAGAACAAUAGUAGUAAUUAUAAUCACAAUAUGAAUACGAAUACUAAUAAUAUAUGUGAUGAUGUACAUAAUUAUAAUAGUACAAUAAAAUCUGACAUAUCCAAUCCGGAUGAUAUAAAUAGAGAGGGAGAAGAAAAAAGCAUACAUGCAACAAAUAAUGAAAAAGAAGAAGAAAUAAAUAUAAAAAAAAAAUUAGUGGAAGUGGAAAAAGCGUAUAUAUAUUCAAAAACAAAUAAACUGAAGAAAGCUAUAAGUAUAUAUGAAAGUGUCCUAAAUGAUUACUGUAAUUUGGUUGAUAUAGAUGGUAAGAAUGGUGGUAAUGUUAAUAAUAUUUAUAAUAAACGUAAUGAAUAUACUAAUAAUAAUAUUAAGUUAAACAAUUUGGUUGUUUUAAUCGCUUAUAAUAACUACCUAGCAUUAAUGCAUAACACGAAAGAAACAAAUAUGGUAAGCAAAAAUAGUAGUAAUACUCCUGUUAUACGUUUUCAUAUUUCGAAUGAACAAUUAACUAAAAUUAAGAACCGUAUAUUUUUACAUAAAUAUAUACAUAACGAUUUAAAUGAAUUGAUUUUGAGUACUAUUAAUUUUAAUGAGUGUAUACUAUGUUUAAGCAAUAACAAAAAAAAUGAAAUAAAAUUAAAAGCAGUGGAAGAUUUUUCAUCAAAAUAUAAUAACACCAUAUUACUUGAUAAAUUAAACAUACUAUUAUUAAAAGAGAGUAAAUAUAUAAAAUGUAAACAAUAUAUAUUUAACAAUAUAGAUUUAAUUUACUCGUUAGAAAAUAAAAUAAAAUUCAUUAAUACAUAUAUAUCACUGUGCUAUGAAAAAAAAAAAUACAGUGAAAUAGUGUCAAUGUAUUUAAAAUAUAAAUAUUUAUUUGAACAGGAUGCUAUGAAUUAUAGUAUUUAUUUUUCUAAUUUAUUUUAUUUGUAUAUAUGUGUUCAAUAUUUAGAUGAUGAUGUUAGUAGUAAAAAAAAAAAACAUAAUGAAGCGGUUGAUCAUGAUGAGAAACACGGAAGUAUAAAUAAUAGUGACAUCUUAUUUAAUAAAAAAAAUACAUUAAAUGAUAUUGACGUUGUUAUAGAAUUAUUUAAAAUAUAUAAAGACUUUAUACAAAAAAAUACACAACAUAUAAAUUAUGAUACUCUUCUACUUGUUAGUAGGUAUCUUAUAUAUAAUGGUAAAACCGAUUUAGUGGUUAAUAUAUUUGACAUUUUAUCUAAACCGCUUAAUAAUAAUUUACAUUUUAUUUCUUGCUUUACAUAUAUAUAUACAUAUAUCAGUAUAAAUGAUGCUUAUAUAUAUGAAGAUAAGCUAAAAAAAAUGGUACUACAAGAAACUUAUUUAAUUGAUGUUGACGAGUUGGAAAAUAAAAUGGUCACAUUUGAUUUGAUAAACAGUCAUGAAAAUACAUCUUUUAAUAUCGAAAAAAAUAAAAAAAAACGUAAAAGAGUAAAAAAAAAAAAAAACGUCAAACAUACAAACAAAACUAAUACUAAUUAUGACCCUGAAAAGUGGACACCAAAACAUGAAAAAACGGCUUUUAAAAAAUUAAAAAGAAAAAAACAAAAAACGGAACCAGGGAAACCAAAGGUUAUUAUAGAAGAGCCUAGCAAUAAUCAUAUUAAUCAGUCCAAGUUACAAAACUUAAAACCUAGAAGAAAAAAGUGAUAGCACAUAUGGGUAGGCGGUUAAACUUGUGACACGUUUGCAGAUAGAAAAACAAAAACAACAAAUAC
rnacentral:lncRNA from 1 species